rnacentral:tRNA from 1 species
GGUGGCUCAGUGGUAGAGUGCUUGCCUCACAUGCAUGAGGCCCUGAGUUUGAUUCAGCACCA